ensembl:lncRNA
CGCCGGGCAAAGCCCUACAGGUGAAUAACAAACAGGCUGCUGCUCGGGAGGGUCGGCAUCUAGAAUUGCGGGGUUCUUCGCUGGAGUCUGAUCAAUAGUCCGCCCGGGGCAGAGUUUGUACCCCCCCCCCCCCCCAAAAGAUUCGAGGAAGAUGAAGACGUUCUGCUCGGAGGAUUUUAAACCACAGAUGGAUGUCGUCAAGUCCAUUUGCAAGGAUGAUGCAUUACUUUAAAAAGAUAUAUAUCGACGGUCUGGUUUCAACAAAGCAUUGACGGACAUCUCCGACGGAGAUACGUGCAGAUAAUCCGUCAGCGAACAACUGCUGUUAGUGAGUCAAAGCCCAGUGAAAAGUUCAAGACUUCACCGACGUUCUUCUGCACAGUUAAGGCUGAGUCCCGCUCGUUGAGCCUCUGAGACCCUGGAGAAGCACCGGAGAUGUUCCUCUAACGCUCUGACUAAGCCGCACGGUCAGAGGCACCACAGCAAACCCAAGGCGCCUGCAGACAACCAGAUACAUCGUAGGACGGCUGCCUUUGCCCUAAAUGGACAAUUCUUUCAUUAAAGUGGUUAAACGACACCACCCACUGCGGAGAGUGCAGCGCUGGAUUGACAGGUUGACCCGUACAAGUCGUCAUGUAACCGUUAUAGCCGGUAUAACACCUUCACGGACGC